GACAGAGGGUGCAAACGUUGUUCGGAUUUACUGGGCGUAAAGCGUGUGUAGGCGGCUUGGCAAGUUGGAUGUGAAGGCCCACGGCUCAACCGUGGAAGCGCAUCCAAAACUGCUUCGCUCGAGUCUCGGAGAGGAAGGUGGAAUGCUUGGUGUAGAGGUGAAAUUCGUAGAUAUCAAGCAGAACACCUGCGGCGAAGGCGGCCUUCUGGACGAUGACUGACGCUGAGACACGAAAGCGUGGGGAGCAAACAGG
rnacentral:rRNA from 1 species